UCAAGUUCCUUGGUUCGGACUUUUCUUGGCUUCCUGUUUGUGGCUUAACAACAUAGACAACUUAUUUCUCCUCCUCAAACACUUAAUAUGACUUCGUAGAACAGAAACAGAAUGAUGACAGUGAUGGUAGCUCUGGGGAAACUGAGGAUGAGAGCACAGAAGGUGCCCUGGAUUGCUGUGGUCUUCUCUGCCUCGGUGUGGCUGUUCUUCUGGACUGGACUGUGCACGGGCAUCCUCUGCUUUCAAGGAUUAUCUGUUUUUAUGAUGCAUUAGGAUGAUCCCUCACGUAACAUGAUAAGUGAUGUUCUCCUUCACCACAUUAAACAGUGAAGCUUGGAGACUCUUAUGGAAGAAUAGAAAGAAGAAUUGCAGCCCAUAAGGGGAUAAGAAUGCCAUAGGAAGACCAACGGAACCAACUAACCUGGACCUUUGCCACUCUCAGAGACUGAACCACAAACCAAAGAACUUUCAUGGGCUUGACCUAGGCAUCCCUGAACAUAUAUAGCAGAUGUGCAGCUUGAUUGUCAUGUGGGUCUAUCCCAUGUGAGCAGGAGCUAUCCCAAAAGCUGGUGUGCAAGGAUGUUGGGGAAGUCAUGAGAAAGAAGGGAAUCUUUGAAGCAGUGAUCCAGAAUACCUUUUAACUCUUGAAUUAUUAUUUUUUAAAGUAAUUUUCCCCACCAGGGAAAAAGGUUAAUAAACAUAUUUUCCGAUUCCCAUAUAAACUAUAUUCCUAUU